rnacentral:rRNA from 1 species
CCUACGGGAGGCAGCAGUGGGGAAUAUUGCGCAAUGGGCGAAAGCCUGACGCAGCGACGCAGCGUGAGGGACGAAGGCCUUCGGGUUGUAAACCUCUUUCAGCGGGGACGAAGCGAAAGUGACGGUACCCGCAGAAGAAGCACCGGCUAACUACGUGCCAGCAGCCGCGGUAAUACGUAGGGUGCAAGCAUUGUCCGGAUUUAUUGGGCGUAAAGAGCUCGUAGGCGGCUUGUCACGUCGGAUGUGAAAACUCGGGGCUCAACCCCGAGCCUGCAUUCGAUACGGGCUAGCUAGAGUGUUGCAGGGGAGACUGGAAUUCCUGGUGUAGCGGUGAAAUGCGCAGAUAUCAGGAGGAACACCGGUGGCGAAGGCGGGUCUCUGGGCAACUACUGACGCUGAGGAGCGAAAGCGUGGGGAGCGAACAGGAUUAGAUACCCUGGUAGUCCACGCCGUAAACGGUGGGCGCUAGGUGUGGGGAACCUUCCACGUUCUCUGUGCCGUAGCUAACGCAUUAAGCGCCCCGCCUGGGGAGUACGGCCGCAAGGCUAAAACUCAAAUGAAUUGACGGCUGAGACGUGCCGACGGACGACGACGAGGGAGUAGG